CCCUUAGUUAUCAUAGGUCGCACGCGCCAUACAAUGUGGCGCACAACGAGUCUCCUUGGCCGACAGGAUGUCCCGCGAGCGAUCGGCGACGCAGCCAGCUCGGUCUUCGGGCAGACUCGGUGAGAGUGGCCCGUCCUCCUGAGAGGGCGAUCGUCGAUGCCUCGGGAUUCUGGGCAAUCUGGCAGAGCGCUACGUGACUGGGCUAGACUUUUGUAAUUUUUGGUCUUGAACGAGGAAUGCCUAGUAAUCGCAGGUCAGCAUCCUGCGAUGAUUCGGUCCCUGCCCUUUGUACACACCGCCCGUCGCUCCAUCCGUGGCAUGCGCCGGUGAAGAGGGGGAGGCAGCGUCGGCCGUGUAACAGCGGAUCGUACGUGGAACCCCUCUGAACCUUCGCACGUAGAGGAAGGAGAAGUCGUAACA
rnacentral:rRNA from 1 species